rnacentral:tRNA from 1 species
GGGGGUGUGGCUCAGCGGUAGAGCACGGGCUUAGCAUGCACGAGGUCUUGGGUUCAAUCCCCAGCACCUCCA